UGGGGAAUAUUGCACAAUGGGCGCAAGCCUGAUGCAGCCAUGCCGCGUGUAUGAAGAAGGCCUUCGGGUUGUAAAGUACUUUCAGCGGGGAGGAAGGGAGUAAAGUUAAUACCUUUGCUCAUUGACGUUACCCGCAGAAGAAGCACCGGCUAACUCCGUGCCAGCAGCCGCGGUAAUACGGAGGGUGCAAGCGUUAAUCGGAAUUACUGGGCGUAAAGCGCACGCAGGCGGUUUGUUAAGUCAGAUGUGAAAUCCCCGCGCUCAACCUGGGAACUGCAGCUGAUACAGGCAAGCUUGAGUCUCGUAGAGGGGGGUAGAAUUCCAGGGGUAGCGGUGAAAUGCGUAGAGAUCUGGAGGAAUACCGGUGGCGAAGGCGGCCCCCUGGACGAAAACUGACGCUCAGGUGCGAAAGCGUGGGGAGCAAACAGG
rnacentral:rRNA from 1 species